GGUUAAGCGACUAAGCGUACACGGUGGAUGCCCUGGCAGUCAGAGGCGAUGAAGGACGUGCUAAUCUGCGAAAAGCGUCGGUAAGGUGAUAUGAACCGUUAUAACCGGCGAUGUCCGAAUGGGGAAACCCAGUGCAAUUCGUUGCACUAUCGUUAACUGAAUACAUAGGUUAACGAGGCGAACCGGGGGAACUGAAACAUCUAAGUACCCCGAGGAAAAGAAAUCAACCGAGAUUCCCCCAGUAGCGGCGAGCGAACGGGGAGCAGCCCAGAGUCUGAAUCAGCUUGUGUGUUAGUGGAACGGUCUGGAAAGUCCGACGGUACAGGGUGAUAGUCCCGUACACCAAAAUGCACAGGUUGUGAACUCGAAGAGUAGGGCGGGACACGUGGUAUCCUGUCUGAAUAUGGGGGGACCAUCCUCCAAGGCUAAAUACUCCUGACUGACCGAUAGUGAACCAGUACCGUGAGGGAAAGGCGAAAAGAACCCCGGCGAGGGGAGUGAAAAAGAACCUGAAACCGUGUACGUACAAGCAGUGGGAGCACCUUUAUGGUGUGACUGCGUACCUUUUGUAUAAUGGGUCAGCGACUUAUAUUCUGUAGCAAGGUUAACCGUAUAGGGGAGCCGCAGGGAAACCGAGUCUUAACUGGGCGUUAAGUUGCAGGGUAUAGACCCGAAACCCGGUGAUCUAGCCAUGGGCAGGUUGAAGGUUGGGUAACACUAACUGGAGGACCGAACCGACUAAUGUUGAAAAAUUAGCGGAUGACUUGUGGCUGGGGGUGAAAGGCCAAUCAAACCGGGAGAUAGCUGGUUCUCCCCGAAAGCUAUUUAGGUAGCGCCUCGUGAACUCAUCUUCGGGGGUAGAGCACUGUUUCGGCUAGGGGGUCAUCCCGACUUACCAACCCGAUGCAAACUACGAAUACCGAAGAAUGUUAUCACGGGAGACACACGGCGGGUGCUAACGUCCGUCGUGAAGAGGGAAACAACCCAGACCGCCAGCUAAGGUCCCAAAGUCAUGGUUAAGUGGGAAACGAUGUGGGAAGGCACAGACAGCCAGGAUGUUGGCUUAGAAGCAGCCAUCAUUUAAAGAAAGCGUAAUAGCUCACUGGUCGAGUCGGCCUGCGCGGAAGAUGUAACGGGGCUAAACCAUGCACCGAAGCUGCGGCAGCGACACUAUGUGUUGUUGGGUAGGGGAGCGUUCUGUAAGCCUGCGAAGGUGACCUGUGAGGGUUGCUGGAGGUAUCAGAAGUGCGAAUGCUGACAUAAGUAACGAUAAAGCGGGUGAAAAGCCCGCUCGCCGGAAGACCAAGGGUUCCUGUCCAACGUUAAUCGGGGCAGGGUGAGUCGACCCCUAAGGCGAGGCCGAAAGGCGUAGUCGAUGGGAAACAGGUUAAUAUUCCUGUACUUGGUGUUACUGCGAAGGGGGGACGGAGAAGGCUAUGUUAGCCGGGCGACGGUUGUCCCGGUUUAAGCAUGUAGGCUGGUUAUCCAGGCAAAUCCGGAUAAUCAAGGCUGAGGUGUGAUGACGAGGCACUACGGUGCUGAAGUAACAAAUGCCCUGCUUCCAGGAAAAGCCUCUAAGCAUCAGGUAACAUCAAAUCGUACCCCAAACCGACACAGGUGGUCAGGUAGAGAAUACCAAGGCGCUUGAGAGAACUCGGGUGAAGGAACUAGGCAAAAUGGUGCCGUAACUUCGGGAGAAGGCACGCUGGUGUGUAGGUGAAGUCCCUGCGGAUGGAGCUGAGACCAGUCGAAGAUACCAGCUGGCUGCAACUGUUUAUUAAAAACACAGCACUGUGCAAACACGAAAGUGGACGUAUACGGUGUGACGCCUGCCCGGUGCCGGAAGGUUAAUUGAUGGGGUUAUCCGUAAGGAGAAGCUCUUGAUCGAAGCCCCGGUAAACGGCGGCCGUAACUAUAACGGUCCUAAGGUAGCGAAAUUCCUUGUCGGGUAAGUUCCGACCUGCACGAAUGGCGUAAUGAUGGCCAGGCUGUCUCCACCCGAGACUCAGUGAAAUUGAACUCGCUGUGAAGAUGCAGUGUACCCGCGGCAAGACGGAAAGACCCCGUGAACCUUUACUAUAGCUUGACACUGAACAUUGAGCCUUGAUGUGUAGGAUAGGUGGGAGGCUUUGAAGCGUGGACGCCAGUCUGCGUGGAGCCAACCUUGAAAUACCACCCUUUAAUGUUUGAUGUUCUAACGUUGGCCCCUUAUCGGGGUUGCGGACAGUGUCUGGUGGGUAGUUUGACUGGGGCGGUCUCCUCCCAAAGCGUAACGGAGGAGCACGAAGGUUAGCUAAUCCUGGUCGGACAUCAGGAGGUUAGUGCAAUGGCAUAAGCUAGCUUGACUGCGAGCGUGACGGCGCGAGCAGGUGCGAAAGCAGGUCAUAGUGAUCCGGUGGUUCUGAAUGGAAGGGCCAUCGCUCAACGGAUAAAAGGUACUCCGGGGAUAACAGGCUGAUACCGCCCAAGAGUUCAUAUCGACGGCGGUGUUUGGCACCUCGAUGUCGGCUCAUCACAUCCUGGGGCUGAAGUAGGUCCCAAGGGUAUGGCUGUUCGCCAUUUAAAGUGGUACGCGAGCUGGGUUUAGAACGUCGUGAGACAGUUCGGUCCCUAUCUGCCGUGGGCGCUGGAGAAUUGAGGGGGGCUGCUCCUAGUACGAGAGGACCGGAGUGGACGCAUCACUGGUGUUCGGGUUGUCAUGCCAAUGGCACUGCCCGGUAGCUAAAUGCGGAAGAGAUAAGUGCUGAAAGCAUCUAAGCACGAAACUUGCCCCGAGAUGAGUUCUCCCUGAGACUUUAAGUCUCCUGAAGGAACGUUAAAGACGAUGACGUUGAUAGGCCGGGUGUGUAAGCGCAGCGAUGCGUUGAGCUAACCGGUACUAAUGAACCGUGAGGCUUAACCUU
rnacentral:rRNA from 1 species